GACGAACGCUGGCGGCGUGCUUAACACAUGCAAGUCGAACGCUAAAGCUCAGCUUGCUGGGUGUAUGAGUGGCGAACGGGUGAGUAACACGUGAGUAACCUGCCCUCUUCUUUGGGAUAACGCCCGGAAACGGGUGCUAAUACUGGAUAUUCACUGAUUCUCGCAUGUGGGUUGGGGGAAAGGUUGUUUCUGGUGGGGGAUGGGCUCGCGGCCUAUCAGCUUGUUGGUGGGGUGAUGGCCUACCAAGGCUUUGACGGGUAGCCGGCCUGAGAGGGUGACCGGGAAAAUUGGGAACGAGAUACGGCCCAGACUCCUACGGGAGGGAGCAGUGGGGAAUAUUGCACAAUGGGCGAAAGCAUGAUGACGCGACGCCGCGUGAGGGAUGGAGGCUUUCGGGUUGUAAACCUCUUUCACUAAUGGUAAAGCCGCAGCUUUGGGUUGUGGUGAGGGUAGUGGGUAAAGAAGCGCCGGCUAACUACGUG
rnacentral:rRNA from 1 species